UACGAAGGGGGCUAGCGUUGCUCGGAAUCACUGGGCGUAAAGCGCACGUAGGCGGCUUUUUAAGUCAGGGGUGAAAUCAUGGAGCUCAACUCCAGAACUGCCUUUGAUACUGAGAAGCUUGAGUCCGGGAGAGGUGAGUGGAACUGCGAGUGUAGAGGUGAAAUUCGUAGAUAUUCGCAAGAACACCAGUGGCGAAGGCGGCUCACUGGCCCGGUACUGACGCUGAGGUGCGAAAGCGUGGGGAGCAAACAGG
rnacentral:rRNA from 1 species